UGUGCUGUGUGUCUCCAGGCUGCCCUCUCUAAGACCUUUGAGAAAAAAAAAGACAAGAAAUGGGAAAGAAGUGUCACAAUCUAUGCCCAGCUGGUCUGGAUUAUCUACCCUGAGGUGUAUCCGCCGGCUGCCCCUGUAUCCCAUUAUAAAUCAUCUCCCUGCUGAACAUCAGCCCAGACUGAGGGCUGAUUCAUUGACUGAGUGUUGCUACCUGGCUGCAGAAGAAGUCUAUAUCUCGGUCCUGUAAUAGUCAUCAUAUUCGAAGAAGCCUUACAUUUUUGAAUAGUUACAUAGUGUCCUCCACUGAAGAAAGAGGAAGUCUGGAGUUGGUUUCCGGUGGCAAGCAGGGAGCUGUUCCCUCUCUUUGACAUUAGCAAGUCAAGGGAGCAAGUGAUUUUUGGCUCCAUCCAUACACAGACACUUAGGAGAAAUCCAGGACAAAGAAAAAGAUGAACAAACCAUCAAUCUGAGCAAGGCCCUGAGAUGACCCAUGGGAUGUUCCAAUGUGUGAUGAUGGAAAAUGUAUUUUCUAUAAAACAGGAGUAAGAUGCUGCUACUGGACGCUGGAAGACUUUGCAUCUUCCCCCUGGGCUGUGCAUUCCCACAUGGAACACCCCCUUCCAGGGACAUCCACUGGUUCUUCUGACCCCUUGCUACAAUUCAGACCAGAUGCUUUCCUGGCUCUGGAGUCUGUCACAGUUUCCUACAUUCCUCAGGCUUCUCUUUGAUCUCUCUUUAUUCUUGCUGGUGUAAAUCCUCAAAUAACUUCCUCUGAAUGGUACGUGAAAGACCAAUUUUCUUAAUCUUUGAAUGCCUUCGAAACCUUAUUAUUUAGCAUCAUGGACCAGUAAUCAGAUUCCUAGCAAGGCUGUUUAAAUGAGUAGCUCAUUCCAAAACCUGUAGGAAGCAAAGAGCUGAGCAAUAGUCAAGACAACCUUGAGAAAGGAAAAGUCAAAGAGCUAACACAACACAACUUCAAGCCUGGAUUAAAAGCUAAAUGGUAUUCAAGAAAGAGGUAUACUGCUGAAAACAUAAUUGGUUGCAUAUCUGUAUCAUUUCUUUGGAGUAUAUGGACCAUCCCCAGACAUGAGUUUUCAGUAAUGCAAAUGUUUGGAGAUUCACCUUGGGGCCAUGUCCCACCUAGUCCAUCUUACCUGAAAAUGUACUACACCUGACCUCCUGAGGACCAUGGCUUAGCAACACAGUGAGCUUCAGGUUCUAGCUAAUCAUUUCCAUCAUUACUGGGGGUAGAUUCAGCUUUCUUCCAGGGCCAAGCAUUAGGAGAGAUACAAUACUCUAUAUAUUCCUUGCCCAUCUGAAGUCAGUUUCUAUUGAAUGUGUGUUCUUUGGCGGACAUCACAAAGUGUAAAAUCUAAUCACCAAAACAGGACCAUCUGUACAUGAGUUCUACAUUCAGCAACUCAAUGACAGUACAUGGAUCAAUCACCAAGGAACACUCUUCGUACAGUCAAGAUGUCUGUAGUACUCAACAGUGUUAUUGAGAGUCUCAGAACAUGCCCCUGCCUGCUUAUCAUCACUGAAGCUACCUAGUCAGACCAUCAUCAUCUCCCUUGUAUGUCAGUACCUGCCUCCUAUUUGCAGGUCUCCUCAGGACUUUGACAAGUCUUCAGUGAUUAUUGACUGUGCACCAAAAACCAGCCUGCUGGAUGACCACAGCACCUACACUGAACAGAAUGAUUACAGCACCUAGACUCAGGCAAGAUGACAAGAACACCUACUCUCAUGCACUACGGCCCCAGCAUUAUGCUGAACCAAGCUAGCCACAGCACCUACCUCAGAGUUUACCCUAUAGUGAGAUGUAAGCUCUCAUUUACCACAGCAAAUACUUACAAAGAGGUGACCGAGACACAGACAGCAGGGGCUACUGCAUAUCUACCAAGAGACAGUAGUGCUGGGCCAUCCGUUUACUCCUGGCAUUCUUCCAAGCACUUUAUACAGAACAUCUCAUUUAUUCCACAGCACAGCCCCAUGUUUUGACUAAUAUGAACGUCUCCUGUUUUAUUGCUGAAGCCCCCUCUGGCCACAGGCCAUGCUCAGGCAGAUGACAUAAUUGGGAGUCUUGCUGAGACUGGGUUCCUUCUAUUCCAAAUACCAUCUGAAUGUUUGUGCCUUUUCCUCCCACAGUUUCCUGUGUGGGAUUGGCGAUCAACAUCUAUAUUUUGUAACUAAGGAACCAGUUGUCAACAAAAGUAAAUACAUAGACAAAUAAAUUGCAGGCCAAAGCUUUCAUAGACUAAUGUCUAAUUGAAUGUAGGACAUGAAGGACUGGACAAAGGGAAGGAUGAUCCUUGAGCUUUGGUUAAUCGUGAUUUCCUUGACAUAGACCAAAGAAGAGUUAAAAGGAAUAGCCAGUUCUGUUUUAAAUACAUAGACCUUGAGACUCAUGGCAGAUCCAUGUUGGAAAGGCCUACUGGCUCUGUUAUACAAAGUUAUAUUUCUACAGCAUCUAUAAGCAAAUUGAAGACUGCAUUUGGACAAAGCACAGGUCAUGGAAUAAGAGGAAAUAAAAUGUGAGGAGGAAUUGAAGAUGGGUCCAUUUGGAGCUAACAUUCACCAAUCUGAUCGUCACUACCCUUACUCAUGUUUUAGGAAGAGAAACCACACAAUAAAGUAUAUGUUACAUUCUCAAACUUUUGAUAAGUAGGUCCUACAAAGGUGAAUUUAAAGGGAUGAAAAUAAAGGUAGAAAUGGCUGAGGAAACAUGCAGACACUCAUAGAGGGAGUUAGACGGAAAGGCCAGAAGAAAGGUUUUGAUGAGUGCAUCCAGAAACCAGGAAGUGAGGCCCUUCCCACCAAGCCACUGGCCCAUCUCCAAGAGCCGAUGCUGACCCAGAACUCACUCUGAGAAAGCAGAACACAGCAUGUCAUCGUACUCUUCUGGUCUGUGUCCCACAUACUUGAGUGUCUCAGGUCAUAGGAUUUGGAUAUAUUUUUAGUGUUCUGCAGCUAGCUAUCUUCAGCUAUCAUUUGGAUUAAAAAUAACUCGUGAC